AGUGAACGCUGGCGGUAGGCCUAACACAUGCAAGUCGAACGGCAGCACAGUAAGAGCUUGCUCUUACGGGUGGCGAGUGGCGGACGGGUGAGGAAUACAUCGGAAUCUACUUUUUCGUGGGGGAUAACGUAGGGAAACUUACGCUAAUACCGCAUACGACCUACGGGUGAAAGCAGGGGAUCUUCGGACCUUGCGCGAUUGAAUGAGCCGAUGUCGGAUUAGCUAGUUGGCGGGGUAAAGGCCCACCAAGGCGACGAUCCGUAGCUGGUCUGAGAGGAUGAUCAGCCACACUGGAACUGUGACACGGUCCAGACUCCUACGGGAGGCAGCAGUGGGGAAUAUUGGACAAUGGGCGCAAGCCUGAUCCAGCCAUACCGCGUGGGUGAAGAAGGCCUUCGGGUUGUAAAGCCCUUUUGUUGGGAAAGAAAAGCAGCAGGUUAAUACCCCGCUGUUCUGACGGUACCCAAAGAAUAAGCACCGGCGAACUUCGU
rnacentral:rRNA from 1 species